rnacentral:rRNA from 1 species
GACGAACGCUGGCGGCGUGCCUAAUACAUGCAAGUCGAGCGCAGGAAACUGACGGAACUCUUCGGAGGGAAGGCAGUGGAAUGAGCGGCGGACGGGUGGGUAACACGUAAGGAACCUGCCUCAAGGAUUGGGAUAACUCCGAGAAAUCGGAGCUAAUACCGGAUAGUUCAACGGACCGCAUGGUCCGCUGAUGAAAGGCGCUCCGGCGUCACCUUGAGAUGGCCUUGCGGUGCAUUAGCUAGUUGGUGGGGUAACGGCCCACCAAGGCGACGAUGGAUAGCCGACCUGAGAGGGUGAUCGGCCACACUGGGACUGAGACACGGCCCAGACUCCUACGGGGGGCAGCAGUAGGGAAUUUUCCACAAUGGACGAAAGUCUGAUGGAGCAACGCCGCGUGAGUGAUGAAGGUUUUCGGAUCGUAAAACUCUGUUGUAAGGGAAAAACACGUACGAGAGGGAAUGCUCGUACCUUGACGGUACCUUACGAGAAAGCCACGGCUAACUACGUGCCAGCCGCCGCGGUAAGAC